UACGAAGGUGGCAAGCGUUUGUUCGGAUUUACUGGGCGUAAAGCGCGCGUAGGCGGCUAAUUAAGUCAAAUGUGAAAUCCCCGAGCUUAACUUGGGAAUUGCAUUCGAUACUGGUUAGCUAGAGUGUGGGAGAGGAUGGUAGAAUUCCAGGUGUAGCGGUGAAAUGCGUAGAGAUCUGGAGGAAUACCGAUGGCGAAGGCAGCCAUCUGGCCUAACACUGACGCUGAGGUGCGAAAGCAUGGGGAGCAAACAGG
rnacentral:rRNA from 1 species